AUUGAACGCUGGCGGAAUGCUUUACACAUGCAAGUCGAACGGUAGAGGGGGCAACCCCUCGAGAGUGGCGAACGGGUGAGUAAUAUAUCGGAACGUGCCCAGUCGUGGGGGAUAACGUAGCGAAAGUUACGCUAAUACCGCAUACGAUCUAAGGAUGAAAGCGGGGGAUCGCAAGACCUCGCGCGAUUGGAGCGGCCGAUAUCAGAUGAGGUAGUUGGUGGGGUAAAGGCUCACCAAGCCAACGAUCUGUAGCUGGUCGGAGAGGACGACCGGCCACACUGGAACUGAGACACGGUCCAGACUCCUACGGGAAGCAGCAGUGGGGAAUUUUGGACAAUGGACGCAAGUCUGAUCCAGCCAUUCCGCGUGCAGGAUGAAGGCCCUCGGGUUGUAAACUGCUUUUGUACGGAACGAAAAGGUCUCUCUUAAUACGGGGGACUCAUGACGGUACCGUAAGAAUAAGCACCGGCUAACUACGUGCCAGCAGCCGCAGUAA
rnacentral:rRNA from 1 species